UUGGAAUCGAUUCAAGAGAGAAUCGCGAUACGUCGGAAAAUAUCAGAAUUGCUCCAGAUUCUUUGUAUCAUGAAUCAAUGUAAUGUCACAACCAUAGAGGACGUGAGCGCUUUUUACAAGUUGAAAUCUCAUCAUUACGUCCGAGUCUUGGAGUCAUCAUCGCGGCAUUGACGCCCAGAGAUAGAGGAUGUGCGGUCACAGUAAGACGCAGUGCAGCCUCUGGGAACCCGAAGAAUAAGCUGGUGGAAACGGUCCACGUGUUCAAAACUGGCUUUAUCAGUGACUGAGAAGACGAUGAGAAAUCCGUCUCCGGUCCUCAUGUACUGCUCCCUCAUGGCACUGAACUCCUCCUGCCCGGCCGUGUCCAAAA